rnacentral:lncRNA from 1 species
CUGCUGAUCUCCCCUGCUCGGCCAGGGUGGCAAGAAGAAAUUGUUUUGAUGCCAUUUCCGUUUAAUUUGUUUACCUGUCCCUUUCUAGAGUAAAAUCAACAAAUUAAAGAAGAUUUUUAGCGUGUUCGUUUUUGAUGGUUCGAGGCUUCGAGUAUUUGGUGCAUGCAUGGAUGGAAUUAAUCAAGAUUUUCUCAUCUACUACUAGUACCUGUACCUAGCUAGUUCAGUAGUUCU